CUACGAAGGGGGCUAGCGUUGUUCGGAUUUACUGGGCGUAAAGCGCACGUAGGCGGAUUGAUUAGUUAGGGGUGAAAUCCCGAGGCUCAACCUCGGAACUGCCUCUAAAACUGUCAAUCUCGAGACCGGAAGAGGUGAGUGGAACUCCUAGUGUAGAGGUGGAAUUCGUAGAUAUUAGGAAGAACACCAGUGGCGAAGGCGGCUCACUGGUCCGGUACUGACGCUGAGGUGCGAAAGCGUGGGGAGCGAACAGGAUUAGAAACCCCAGUAGUCC
rnacentral:rRNA from 1 species